rnacentral:rRNA from 1 species
CAGUAGCCACGGGAAUACGGAGGGUGCAAGCGUUAUCCGGAUUUAUUGGGUUUAAAGGGUCCGUAGGCGGACUUAUAAGUCAGUGGUGAAAGCCUGUCGCUUAACGAUAGAACUGCCAUUGAUACUGUAAGUCUUGAGUAUAUUUGAGGUAGCUGGAAUAAGUAGUGUAGCGGUGAAAUGCAUAGAUAUUACUUAGAACACCAAUUGCGAAGGCAGGUUACCAAGAUAUAACUGACGCUGAGGGACGAAAGCGUGGGUAGCGAACAGGAUUAGAUACCCCGGUAGUCCCUGUCUCUUAUAA